rnacentral:rRNA from 1 species
UACGGGGGGGGCAAGCGUUGCUCGGAAUCACUGGGCGUAAAGCGCACGUAGGCGGCUUUUUAAGUCGGGGGUGAAAUCCUGGAGCUCAACUCCAGAACUGCCUUUGAUACUGAGAAGCUUGAGUCCGGGAGAGGUGAGUGGAACUGCGAGUGUAGAGGUGAAAUUCGUAGAUAUUCGGAAGAACACCAGUGGCGAAGGCGGCUCACUGGUCCGGUACUGACGCUGAUGUGCGAAAGCGUGGGGAGCAAACAGG